UAUUAGUAAAAAGUUCAUAAUGGAACAAGACUUAAAAAGGCUGAUAGCUGCGAGAGGCCAGUUAAAAGGCACAAUUACAAGAUUGUAUAAUUUCAUUAGUAAUGAAACCGAGUUUAAUAAAGAUAUAUCUGUUCUAGAUUCACAAAAUUGCGAGGAUUUCGAGCGCAUCGAAAAUCAAUACUUUGCAAUAAUGGCUGCCAUUAAUGAAAAAUUGACUCCCAAAACAAAUUGUGAGGUUGGUAAACCAUCUACCAGCUGCAGCAACCUGACUAAGUUGCCCAGGAUAGAAAUACCGAGGUUCAGCGGACAGGUGGGUGAUUAUCACAGUUUUAUCUCAUUAUUUAAAAGUGUAAUUGAUCAAGAUGGCCGUUUGUCACAAUGCGACAAAUUUUUCUAUUUAAAAUCAUUGCUCGAACAAGAUGCCGCUGAACUGGUGAAACACCUAAGCCUAUCUGAUGCUAAUUACUCACUAGCUUUAUCCUUGCUGGCUGAAAGGUAUGACAAUAAGCUUAGAAUCAUUAACUUUCACAUCUCAUCAAUUUUAGAUAUACAGCAAAUAAAUAAGUGCUCAGCCUCAAUGCUAAGAAACAUUGUUUCACAAACAAAACAACACAUAGCUGCCUUACAAACACUUGAUGUACCAGUUCAAUCCUGGGAUUUAAUUAUAAUUUCCAUUUUGCAAAGGAAAAUUGAUCAGGGCACGUUUAGGUUUUUCCAUUCAGAGCUUAAACAAAAUACAUUGCCUAAGCUAGAUUAUUUUCUAAACUUUUUAGAGCAACGUGCAACCAUUCUUGAGACCGUGGCUGAGGCUGGCCAUAGCCAUGCUCACCCUACCCGAGUAGUGAACAAGAGCCACGGAGCGAGCCU